rfam:Myotis brandtii contig270149, whole genome shotgun sequence.
CUUGGGGGGGGGGCGUCCCUCAGCACGGAUUGCAAGAGAGCACAGGCCAGGCUGAGGGACUCCACCAGUGCACA